rnacentral:rRNA from 1 species
UGCAGUCGAGCGGUAGCACAGAGAGCUUGCUCUCGGGUGACGAGCGGCGGACGGGUGAGUAAUGUCUGGGAAACUGCCUGAUGGAGGGGGAUAACUACUGGAAACGGUAGCUAAUACCGCAUAACGUCGCAAGACCAAAGUGGGGGACCUUCGGGCCUCAUGCCAUCAGAUGUGCCCAGAUGGGAUUAGCUAGUAGGUGGGGUAACGGCUCACCUAGGCGACGAUCCCUAGCUGGUCUGAGAGGAUGACCAGCCACACUGGAACUGAGACACGGUCCAGACUCCUACGGGAGGCAGCAGUGGGGAAUAUUGCACAAUGGGCGCAAGCCUGAUGCAGCCAUGCCGCGUGUGUGAAGAAGGCCUUCGGGUUGUAAAGCACUUUCAGCGGGGAGGAAGGCGAUGAGGUUAAUAACCUUGUCGAUUGACGUUACCCGCAGAAGAAGCACCGGCUAACUCCGUGCCAGCAGCCGCGGUAAUACGGAGGGUGCAAGCGUUAAUCGGAAUUACUGGGCGUAAAGCGCACGCAGGCGGUCUGUCAAGUCGGAUGUGAAAUCCCCGGGCUCAACCUGGGAACUGCAUUCGAAACUGGCAGGCUAGAGUCUUGUAGAGGGGGGUAGAAUUCCAGGUGUAGCGGUGAAAUGCGUAGAGAUCUGGAGGAAUACCGGUGGCGAAGGCGGCCCCCUGGACAAAGACUGACGCUCAGGUGCGAAAGCGUGGGGAGCAAACAGGAUUAGAUACCCUGGUAGUCCACGCCGUAAACGAUGUCGAUUUGGAGGUUGUGCCCUUGAGGCGUGGCUUCCGGAGCUAACGCGUUAAAUCGACCGCCUGGGGAGUACGGCCGCAAGGUUAAAACUCAAAUGAAUUGACGGGGGCCCGCACAAGCGGUGGAGCAUGUGGUUUAAUUCGAUGCAACGCGAAGAACCUUACCUGGUCUUGACAUCCACAGAAUUUUCCAGAGAUGGAUUGGUGCCUUCGGGAACUGUGAAACAGGUGCUGCAUGGCUGUCGUCAGCUCGUGUUGUGAAAUGUUGGGUUAAGUCCCGCAACGAGCGCAACCCUUAUCCUUUGUUGCCAGCGGUUAGGCCGGGAACUCAAAGGAAACUGCCAUUGAUAAACUGGAGGAAAGGUGGGGAAUGACGUCAAGUCAUCAUGGCCCGUUACGACCAGGGCUAC